GAUGAGGGGGUGUUUUCCUGGGUAUUUCUUCUCCGUCGUUGGAGGCAGAAAGGAGAGGAGGAAAGGGGCAAGACGCACACGUUGCCUCCGCUGCUCACCCAACCGAUCAACGUCGCCUAUUCUCCGGCACCGAUGCUAGUGUUGCCAUCUCCGCAGUCACUUCCCUUUCUCUCUCAUCGCCCACCAACAACCGUCGGCGACACAGAGGGUUCUUCCGCUGCUAGGAGGGUCGCACACGCCAAGGAACGGAAAGAAUGAAGACAGAAGUGAAAUGGUACCGUGGAAUCGCGGCCACCAUAUCGGAUAUCGAGGGCGCCAUGGGCCGACCCGGACGGAUUUUGGUAGGACAGGACGUCGGAGGGCACGGUGGAGGGGAGGAGCUGCGGCCCGAGCCCGGUCUCCACCAUGGAAAGGACUUCCACCAUCAGAUCCCGCUGCGCCGGCGGUAGGUAGGGGAACUCCGCCACGGGAGGCGGCGGGGAGGUCAUCGAUGC